rnacentral:rRNA from 1 species
CACGGAGGGUGCAAGCGUUAUCCGGAUUCACUGGGUUUAAAGGGUGCGUAGGCGGGCAGGUAAGUCAGUGGUGAAAUCUCUGAGCUUAACUCAGAAACUGCCGUUGAUACUAUCUGUCUUGAAUACUGUGGAGGUAGGCGGAAUAUGUCAUGUAGCGGUGAAAUGCUUAGAUAUGACAUGGAACACCUAUUGCGAAGGCAGCUUGCUACACAGUAAUUGACGCUGAGGCACGAAAGCGUGGGGAUCAAACAGG